UAUUCGGGGCACUGCAAAACAGAAGGGAAGAAUGUAAAAUUAAAACCACCUAAAAUUUACAUCAUCGCAGACGGCGACUGACGGCGCUAGGCAAAUCAAUCUAGUAGCCAGCGGAAAGGCCAGUUAUCGAUUAUAGUUCCCACUGUGGUCGUGAUACACGGUAUCGUCUCGCGGACUCCCGCCAGCACUUGGCGUUGUUUGGUUUGCUACACUGUGUUUACUGUAUGUUCUCGUAUUUGUGGACGCCAUUGAUCACGUUUUUCAAGCACAACGAGAGUUCCACUUUGUUUGCUUUUUUCGCGCUUUUCCUCAAGGACUUCUUAGUUUUAUAACCUCCACCACCAAUCUAAGAAGGCUGCCCUGCUUCUGUCACAAAACACUCGACGGCAGCAGAUAGAGAGGAAGGUUAGCGAGUGUAUGUGUGUGUGUGUGUAAAUAAGUGAACUUGUUCCUACUUUCUAAACAGAACCUUGUUAAUCAAACACCGUGCAGAAAAGAUAUUGCACCUGAUAUGACGGCGGGACGCCCACACAGAUCCCUAGCCUUUCGUCUUCGCUGCGCUAUCGGCAAACGUAAUUGGUCCACCAGGGACCGCAAAUUCUCCGGAACGCACGGGAACCCCGUCAUUGGCGCACUGUCAGCGGCUUUCCAUCAGCUGUUCCCAGCCCUCCCAGUGCCAAACGAAUCGUUCUAUCUUUGUUCCGGCUUCGUACGAAAACACUCUUUUACAGCAAGAUGCCUCCGUGCGAGUCACAUUACAACUGGCUGCUCCGCUGUAUGCAGGGGUUUAUCAGGGGGCAGUUAAAAGUGGUGGGAAUCCGACGCUUAAGUGCGGGCAACGGUACACAGAGGCCCGGUUACGAAGGGUGCUCUAAGACGUCAGACAAAUAUCCGGAAUGCAACAGCAGCUGACUUCGCUGUGACAUGAGGCUUUAAUGAGGCCACCAUCAGGCAAAAAGUGCUUCCGACUUCAGGGCUGUGUCCGGUUUUGUGCCGGGAGAAAGUGUUCGGCAGGUAAUCAAUCCGAACACACACACCUCGUGGAGAUAUUGCCUAAUGGUGAGAACGUGUAGGGCGCCACCUUCUCUUAAUCUCUUCAACAGUUCUUAACGCAAGCUAGCCGAACAGCUAGAAAACCUUAACAUUGAACCAAUAAACCAACUUCACCCACAAGCCACAGAGCGUCUGAAAAGGGCCGACUAGGGUCGAGUGUGUGUGUGUUGAGGAGAUUGUUUUAUUGAUCCCCUCACAAACGAUGACACUUGAAACAUCAUUAAAUGCCAUUCGAUAUCAGUCAUUUGUGGACGUUACUCCGCUGAUGGGAGAACCAUUCGCUCGAGACCCCAAAACGCAGUCUGUGCCCAUCGGUACGCACAGAGCAGGAAGGAAAACAUCGGGCACCGCUUACAGUAUGAUAAGAAAAUCAAAGCGUUGAUGUCAUGGUCACUGUUUUCUUCCGCUCGUUUGUAGUGGCGGAUAUUCCGGACUCGCUAAAGAGAUAUGAGAGAUACGCACUGAAAAUCGUUUGACAUCUUGAUGCAACAGAAGAAUCAUUACUCAUUCGGACCAAGAUCUGUCUGCGGAGGACUGGCUGCCACGAUCACGCGGAGUCAAAUUAGAUAGGGCGGAAUAUCUGGGACGCGUUGAGAUUAAUUGAAGGGCUCUGCAAAGCCGGCAGUGCCAAUGAUAACACAAGAUAAGAACAAAUUAAGUCUGUGCAUUUUAUGAAGGGAGGCGCAUUUCACAGAAUGUAGUCUGUAUUGAUGUAUUAAAUCAUUAAGAUAACCAUUGUUGGUUGAGAUUACAGUACAAGUUGGAUUAUGAAACACCCAUGCAUUAAUGUUUGUUAUUUCCAGUUUUUCCCCAGAAUGGAUCCUAUUGGGUUGUCUGUUGUUUCAAUGUCUGAAUUGUGUGUGCUAAUAUGGUGACCUUAUCUAUCCGAGGUGUUCCAACGUUGAAAUGUAAGGCUGUGAUCACACACGAUCAUAUUGAAAACGAUAAAAGUUGUUAUACGGAAGUUAUUGCUUAUUAUAGAGACUCCCGAAGUCUCCUUAAAUUAUAAUAAUUCAUUAAUUGAUCAUUUUAAAAUUUAGUGACUGAUACAUCCUUCUUAGUUAGUCAGUUCCUGCUUGCAGUCUCCUAGUAGACCUUAUCUCAAAUAAUAUCGCUAUGCGCAAGUUAAACAAAAGACGUCCUCGGAAGAGACGAGUUCGGAUGCAUUGUACACUCAAACCAUUUCACGCUAACCGUGUAUUGGGCGCUGUUUCUAAAUCGCUAAAGAGUAUUUUAUUUUGAUUGCGAACCGUGCCAAAUAUUUUCAAUAUUCGCUACGGCGUGUUAUAUAAACCGUAAUAGUGUUUCCAACGCACCCCUGGUAAAGUUUACGUUCACUUCCUUCCUUUGCAAUAAAUGCAACAAAAAAACCUAGCCGGGGCUUCCUUUUCAUUGUCCGAAUGCAACGCUGUUUGUCUUUGUCGCCCUCUAUCACGUCCACAUCCCUUUCCGGUUACGUUAAUAGACGAUAGUUGUAAAUCAAAAUUUUAGAAACCAAAAACGACACACCAACAUGCCACCGUCCACCACCAUCAUCAUCAAGCAAACAAUCAAA